rnacentral:rRNA from 1 species
UGAAUACGAGACGCUAAGGCGUCGAAGUAGUGUAUGUCAUACUUCCAAGAAAAGCUUGCACUGUCAUAGAUAAAAAACGCCUGUACCAUAACCGACACAGGUGGGUAGGUAGAGUAUACUAAGGGGCGCGAGAUAACUCUCUCUAAGGAACUCGGCAAAAUAACUCCGUAACUUCGGGAGAAGGUGUGCCUUAUUCGUAAGGUUGCAAUAACAAGAUCCAAGCAACUGUUUAUCAAAAACACAGGUCUCCGCUAAGUCGUAAGACGAUGUAUGGGGGCUGACGCCUGCCCAGUGCCAGAAGGUUAAAGAAGUUGGUUAGCAAUUGCGAAGCUGAUAACUGAAGCCCUGGUGAACGGCGGCCGUAACGAUAACGGUCCUAAGGUAGCGAAAUUCCUUGUCGGGUAAGUUCCGACCCGCACGAAAGGCGUAAUGAUUUGGAUACUGUCUCGGAGAGGGGCUCGGUGAAAUAGACUUGUCUGUGAAGAUGCGGACUACCUGCACCAGGACAGAAAGACCCUAUGAAGCUUUACUGUAACUUGAAAUUGAAAUUGGACUUUAUUCGCGCAGCAUAGGUGGGAGGCGUUGAUUAUAAUCUUGCGGGAUUAUUGGAGCCAUCAGUGAGAUACCACUCUUGUAAUGUUAGAUUUCUAACUUUGAAUCAUUAUCUGGUCAAAGAACAGUUUCAGGCGGGCAGUUUGACUGGGGCGGUCGCCUCCUAAACGGUAACGGAGGCGUACAAAGGUUUCCUCUGAACGGUUAGAAAUCGUAUCUAGAGUGUAAAGGCAUAAGGAAGCUUGACUGUGAGACCUACAAGUCGAGCAGGGACGAAAGUCGGUCUUAGUGAUCUGACGGUACUGAGUGGAAAGGCCGUCACUCAACGGAUAAAAGUUACUCUAGGAUAACAGGCUGAUCUCCCCCAAGAGUUCACAUCGACGGGGAGGUUUGGCACCUCGAUGUCGGCUCAUCGCAUCCUGGGGCGGUAGUACGUCCCAAGGGUUGGGCUGUUCGCCCAUGAAAGCGGUACGCGAGCUGGGUUCAGAACGUCGUGAGACAGUUCGGUCCAUAUCCGGUGUAGGCGUUAGAAUAUUGAGAGGAGCCUUCUUUAGUACGAGAGGACCGAGAAGGACAUACCUCUGGUGUACCAGUUAUCGUGCCAACGGUAAACGCUGGGUAGCUAUGUAUGGAGUGGAUAACCGCUGAAAGCAUCUAAGUGGGAAGCCCACCUCAAGAUAAGUAUUCUCAAC